AUGUCUGCUAUGUCAGCACGGACAACAGUCACGCCAGUGAGAAUAGGCAAAGUUGCUCUUCACGCCUUCGCAACCCCAGCGUUCUUCACGCAGUCUUCAGGGUUCCAGAGCUUUAGGAUCUCUGCUUCCCAGGAAUCCACCUGCCAGGAAUAUUUAGAUACACUGUACAGGUAUGCAAAAUUCCAGUAUGAAUGUGGAAAUUACUCUGGAGCAGCAGAAUAUCUUUACUUCUUUAGAGUGUUGGUUCCAGCAACAGAUAGAAAUGCUUUGAGUUCACUCUGGGGAAAACUGGCCUCUGAAAUCUUAAUGCAGAAUUGGGAUGCAGCCAUGGAAGACCUGACACGGCUAAAAGAGACCAUAGAUAAUAAUUCUGUGAGUUCUCCACUUCAGUCUCUUCAGCAGCGGACAUGGCUCAUACAUUGGUCUCUGUUUGUUUUCUUCAAUCACCCCAAAGGGCGCGAUAACAUUAUUGAUCUCUUCCACAUAUUCUUCGCUAUUUGACCACAGCAGUCAUAACAAACAAAGAUGUUCGAAAACGCCGGCAGGUGCUAAAAGAUCUGGUCAAAGUUAUUCAACAGGAGUCUUACACAUAUAAAGACCCAAUUACAGAAUUUGUUGAAUGCUUAUAUGUCAAUUUUGACUUUGAUGGGGCUCAGAAAAAGCUAAGGGAAUGUGAAUCAGUACUAGUGAAUGAUUUCUUCUUGGUGGCUUGUCUUGAGGAUUUCAUUGAAAAUGCCCGUCUCUUCAUAUUUGAGACUUUUUGUCGCAUCCAUCAGUGUAUCAGCAUUAACAUGUUGGCAGAUAAACUGAACAUGACUCCAGAAGAAGCUGAAAGGUGGAUUGUAAAUUUGAUUAGAAAUGCAAGGCUGGAUGCCAAGAUUGAUUCUAAAUUAGGUCAUGUGGUUAUGGGUAACAAUGCAGUCUCACCCUAUCAGCAAGUGAUUGAAAAGACCAAAAGCCUUUCAUUUAGAAGCCAGAUGUUGGCCAUGAAUAUUGAGAAGAAACUUAAUCAGAAUAGUAGGUCAGAGGCUCCUAACUGGGCAGCUCAGGACUCUGGCUUCUAUUGAAGAACUUGUACAGGAAAAUUGAAAAACCUUUAAAGGAAAGGUGAAAUAAUAAAACCAUUAUAUAAAGGUGAAACCUUUUAGAAACAGCGUAUUUAGUAUAAAUUUUGGAGAAUUUGAAUAAAAUUGACCAUUUCAUUUAAAAAAAAAAAAAAAAAAA